AGAAAACAAACCAAGCACCCAUGUUUGACCAUGUUCCUUCUCUACCAGCUAAAGAACACUGAAAGCCACCAAACUCGUGUGCUCCAAAUUCUACGUUAUCAAGUCCUGGAGAUGGUGUUGCAAAUAGAAGAAUUCACGCAGAAUUCCACUGGCUGCCUGUAAGAUGAUGAAUUAUUUUCAAGAUUGGCUUACUGACUUUCAAAGUCCUACAUGACCAGGGUCCAAGAACCACAACAAACUUACACCCAAGUAAGAGGGAGUCUGACAAUCACCAUGGUUGGUUUCUAUUCAUGGUACUGUAUUAUAUAGGUUUCUCUCUAUAUUUUUACAAGCACGAUGAUUGGAUUUGUCUUUAUGUUUUGUUCUGUGGCAUCAUUUUUAUUAAAGACACGUGGCUCUCUACAGCUUGCUGGUACUUGUAGUUGUGCAAAGAAGAA